GACGAACGCUGGCGGCGUGCUUAACACAUGCAAGUCGAACGGGAUCCGGGCUUUCGGGUUUGGUGAGAGUGGCGAACGGGUGAGUAACACGUGAGUAACCUGCCCCCUUCUUUGGGAUAACGUCGGGAAAUCGGCGCUAAUACUGGAUAUUCUUGCUGCAUCGCAUGGUGUGGUUUGGAAAGGGUUUCUGGUGGGGGAUGGGCUCGCGGCCUAUCAGCUUGUUGGUGGGGUGAUGGCCUACCAAGGCUUUGACGGGUAGCCGGCCUGAGAGGGUGUCCGGCCACACUGGGACUGAGACACGGCCCAGACUCCUACGGGAGGCAGCAGUGGGGAAUAUUGCACAAUGGGCGCAAGCCUGAUGCAGCGACGCAGCGUGAGGGAUGACGGCCUUCGGGUUGUAAACCUCUUUCAGUAUGGAACAAGGAUCCUUCUUUUGGGGGGUUUGAGGGUACGUGCAGAAGAAGCGCCGGCUAACUACGUG
rnacentral:rRNA from 1 species